CACGGCCCAGACUCCUACGGGAGGCAGCAGUAGGGAAUCUUCCGCAAUGGACGAAAGUCUGACGGAGCAACGCCGCGUGAGUGAUGAAGGUUUUCGGAUCGUAAAGCUCUGAUGUUAGGGAAGAACAAGUGCCGUUCAAAUAGGGCGGCACCUUGACGGUACCUACCAGAAAGCCACGGCUAACUACGUGCCAGCAGCCGCGGUAAUACGUAGGUGGCAAGCGCUGUCCGGAAUUAUUGGGCGUAAAGGGCUCGCAGGCGGUUUCUUAAGUCUGAUGUGAAAGCCCCCGGCUCAACCGGGGAGGGUCAUUGGAAACUGGGGAACUUGAGUGCAGAAGAGGAGAGUGGAAUUCCACGUGUAGCGGUGAAAUGCGUAGAGAUGUGGAGGAACACCAGUGGCGAAGGCGACUCUCUGGUCUGUAACUGACGCUGAGGAGCGAAAGCGUGGGGAGCGAACAGGAUUAGAUACCCUGGUAGUCCACGCCGUAAACGAUGAGUGCUAAGUGUUAGGGGGUUUCCGCCCCUUAGUGCUGCAGCUAACGCAUUAAGCACUCCGCCUGGGGAGUACGGUCGCAAGACUGAAACUCAAAGGAAUUGACGGGGGCCCGCACAAGCGGUGGAGCAUGUGGUUUAAUUCGAAGCAACGCGAAGAACCUUACCAGGUCUUGACAUCCUCUGACAAUCCUAGAGAUAGGACGUCCCCUUCGGGGGCAGAGUGACAGGUGGUGCAUGGUUGUCGUCAGCUCGUGUCGUGAGAUGUUGGGUU
rnacentral:rRNA from 1 species